UGGGGAAUAUUGGACAAUGGGGGGAACCCUGAUCCAGCAAUGCCGCGUGUGUGAAGAAGGCCUGAGGGUUGUAAAGCACUUUCAGAGGGGAGGAGGACUAUUAGGUUAAGAGCUAGAUAGUUGGACGUUACCGACAGAAUAAGCACCGGCUAACUCUGUGCCAGCAGCCGCGGUAAUACGUAGGGACCAAGCGUUGUUCGGAUUUACUGGGCGUAAAGGGCGCGUAGGCGGCAAUUCAAGUCAUCUGUGAAAUCUCCGGGCUUAACUCGGAACGGUCAGAUGAUACUGCUUUGCUAGAGUGCAGAAGGGGCAAUCGGAAUUCUUGGUGUAGCGGUGAAAUGCGUAGAUAUCAAGAGGAACACCUGAGGUGAAGACGGGUUGCUGGGCUGACACUGACGCUGAGGCGCGAAAGCCAGGGGAGCAAACGGGAUUAGAUACCCACGUAGUCCCUGAGCGGGCUGGCAAGGCGCAU
rnacentral:rRNA from 1 species